UCCCUAGUGGUCCAGUGGUGAAGACGCGGUACUGUCACCGCCGUGGGCCCGGGUUCAAUCCCUGGUCAGGGAA